UAAUUUCAUAGCAACGCUUGGAAAAUUAACUAGAAUCACAUGUGAUUAUCCUAAGUGCCUUAAAUCAAUUAUUCAAGACCAUGGGAGAGUUUACGGCCGUAAACUCCUUGUUUACAGCCAUGAACUCCCUUAAACAUGGUCUAAGUCCCAUAAAUUUAUUCCAAGGCAUUUUAGAAGUCCAUUCCAACAAUUCCUAAGUCCAAACAAGCCAUUAAGCACUCAAAAUCACACCAACAUGAGUUCACGGCCGUGAACUCAUGUAUGUAUGUGUUUCAUGGUUGUAAAAUCCCUAAAAUGUUUGCUCUUGGGGUGUAAACUCAAAUCCCAAGUCCCUAGUACCAUUACACGUCCGUAGAUGUCACCCGGGUCACUCCAAACACUCGUUUUGAGNUUAACUAGAAUCACAUGUGAUUGUCCUAAGUGCCUUAAAUCAAUUAUUCAAGACCAUGGGAGAGUUUACGGCUGUAAACUCCAAGUUUACAGCCAUGAACUCCCUUAAACAUGGUAAUCAGGCCCCGAACCGACGUUUAGUGUCCGAAAUCGUCGCAUUUCCGAGUCCGGUGAGUUCAUACCCCUACCCUUUUUCGGUAUUUUCAAUGGUUUUUCAAUGUUUUCAGAAGGGGGGGGGGGAAUACAAGCAACAAGUACAAGUGUAUUUUGUACUUAAACUGAUUUUCAACUCAAUGGUUUUACUUACUAAAUGUCUUGAUUUCCAAAGAUUUUUGAUAACUGACAUUUCGAAUUGCAAGUUAAACAUAGAUUUCUUUUAAAAGUGUUAUAACUACAUUCUCUUUGAAUAAGAAAUCAUACUAAUCAUAUUUAAGAUUAACGAAUGUAACCUAGUACGAAUACGAAUACGAAUGUAACCUAGUACGAAUACAAAUACGAAUGUAACCUAGUACGAAUACGAAUAUGAAUGUAACCUAGUACGAAUACGAAUACGAAUGUAAUCUAGU
rnacentral:lncRNA from 1 species